GUGGUCGGGGCCACGUGGGCAGGAUGGGGUUAAAAGAAGCCCCGCUCCCUGCAGGGGCCCAUUGCUCCCCGGCCACCAGCACCCCAUAGAUCACCCACCCGCAGCACCGGCACCCAGCAUGGGCCACCUGCGCCCCAACCCGGUAAUGUACGGAGGGACCCAGCCAGCGGCACGGCACCCACGUGGCGCUCGAGGAGCAGUGAGGGCAUGGAGGGGUCCUGGGGCUGUGGCCCCCACCUGCUCCCAGGGGGACAGUGGGUGCUGGGGGCGGCCCCAUGGGUAAGAGGGUCCCCCCCAGGGAGGAGGCGCUGCAGUGGUGGGCGGGAGGAGAUGGGAAGAGCCUGAAGCAGAAGUGCCACCGAGGGGAUUUCAGUGCCAAGGGGACGGGAGGCAGAGGAUGCAGAGGCUGUCGGGGCAGGGCAAAGCCAGCCCUGCCAUUCGUGCCCCCUGGCCAUGCUGACACGGAAGCAUCCCCACGGCCAGGCGCGCGGGGUGCAGGCAGAGGAGACCACGUCGCCGGAGGAGAGCAUCGCCGACACCGACUGAGAGACAGUGCAGUCACCCAUAAAGUAGAAAGCACUACUAAACAGCACUGCAGGGUGUAGUGUUUCCUACUUUAUGGAUGAGUGUACUGUGGGCUACGGAGAAGAGAGCACUGCCGGCCACCUGCGGGCUGGCCACCAGCUGCACACAGCUGGGGAGCCAAGGACAGGCUGGCACUGGCACCACCACUCUCCCUGCUGCCACUGGGCCAGCACGUCUGGGACAUGGGGCUGAGCAGCCAGGUAGGUAGCAAAGCCUGUGAUUCAUGCUUUUCUGCCCCAUCUUCAGGUCAUGUAUGGCAAAGUCCUGUGGGGAGCUGGGUGGUGGUGGCCAUGUGUGGUCAGGGUGAGGCGGGGGGGGGGCUGGCAAAUGGCUUUGCAUGGCUGCAUGAUGGCAGGAUGCUGCUAAAUAAAACUCUUUCAGUGUUGACUUGUGGACUUUGUCUUUUUUAUUCUAUUCCUGGGAAACACAAAAACUGGAAAAAGACACCUGCAGUGCCCCAAGGCCAUGUCCAGCAGCUGGGGGGCACUGUGAGCUUGCAUGGGGACAGGGCCUGGGGGGGGCUCAGGGGUGUUAGAAACAGCACAAGGGACACCAGCACCACACAGUGGGACUUGCACCCCGUGUCCGCCCAGGCUCAUGGCAAAGAGGCCACGUCCUGCCGCAGCCCUGCCAUCUUCACAUGGUGAGGGAAUGAGACACUCUUGUGGUCACUGUCCCCACCCACACAGCCCAUCCACACUGUUGGCCCCAUGUUCUGGCUUCCCUGGUUCCUAGUCCCCAAAUGUCAGAUCCCAAACACCUGUGGCCAUCCCCAUGCUUGGCUUUGAUUCCCCAUCCCCUGGCCUUGGGAAAG